rnacentral:rRNA from 1 species
UGGGGAAUAUUGGACAAUGGGCGAAAGCCUGAUCCAGCCAUGCCGCGUGUGUGAAGAAGGCCUUUUGGUUGUAAAGCACUUUAAGCGAGGAGGAGGCUACUUAGAUUAAUACUCUAGGAUAGUGGACGUUACUCGCAGAAUAAGCACCGGCUAACUUUGUGCCAGCAGCCGCGGUAAUACAGAGGGUGCGAGCGUUAAUCGGAUUUACUGGGCGUAAAGCGUGCGUAGGCGGCUUCUUAAGUCGGAUGUGAAAUCCCUGAGCUUAACUUAGGAAUUGCAUUCGAUACUGGGAAGCUAGAGUAUGGGAGAGGAUGGUAGAAUUCCAGGUGUAGCGGUGAAAUGCGUAGAGAUCUGGAGGAAUACCGAUGGCGAAGGCAGCCAUCUGGCCUAAUACUGACGCUGAGGUACGAAAGCAUGGGGAGCAAACAGG